UACGUAGGUGGCGAGCGUUAUCCGGAUUUAUUGGGCGUAAAGCGUCCGCAGCCGGUUUAUUAAGUCUAAGAUUAAAGCCCGAAGCUUAACUUCGGUUCGUUUUAGAAACUGGUAGACUCGAGUGUGGUAGAGGCAAGUGGAACUUCUAGUGUAGCGGUAAAAUGCGUAGAUAUUAGAAAGAACACCAGUGGCGAAGGCGGCCGCCUGGCCUGUUACUGACGCUGAGGCACGAAAGCGUGGGGAGCAAAUAGG
rnacentral:rRNA from 1 species